AGGGAUCCAUAAUAUCUUAGUUUUAAUAUCUGGGAUCCUAAAUUUUCUUAUUAAAAGGAGAAAAGUAAAAAUAGUUGUUGAAAUUCUGUUCUGCGAUGGAUUAGAUUACACGGUGUUGAUUUUUGUGAUGCAAAACAAUGUCUUUAUGAUUGCCAGUAAUGUCCUUGGAUUGAGCUGUCUUCAGAGAAACUUGGCCUAUAAUAAGAGUGCUCCACACUAAAUGUUGUGAUCAAUGUUAGCGUGCCAUCUGACAUCGAAGAAUAUAAAAAGUUUACAGACAAUGUUUCUUGGAAACAAUGGCCUAUCAGGAACCAUUCCUCAGCAAAAGGCUGUAUAUUUUAAAAACAUGAAUCUAGUGGCCAGCAAUUUCAUGUUUGACU